rnacentral:tRNA from 1 species
GGGCCUGUAGCUCAGCUUGGUUAGAGCACCUGAAUUUUUGACCAGGGUGUCGCGGGUUCAAAUCCUGCCAGGCCCA